UGACCACGAUUAGGCGAUUUUCAUGAC
rnacentral:sRNA from 1 species